GGCCCGCCCGGCGCCGUGACGUAACGCUUUCUUUUCCUCUUGGUAUGCAUCCUGGGGCAGAGGGCUGCGGAGCUUGGAGCUGCAAAGACUUCAGGUCGCGCGUCUCGGGCCAUUUCACUGCUAAUCAGUACGGGAUCUCUUUGCCAAGAGUGGGGAGGAACAAAGGAGUAAGGAAGGAGACCGUGAGCCGCCGGUCGCCGGCCGCCGUGCUCCGAGUGGCUUUUUCUUCGCUCCUGUCCGGAGAAGCGGGCUUUACAGUCGUCACUGGAUUGAUCCGCCAUUUGCUUCCUGCUCGCUAGCUCUCCGCAUUGUCCGGCAGCGGCAUCUAGAGGUUGGAACUUGGCAUUGCAGCUAAUAUAUUUAAAUGGACCUGAAUAUACCAGUGUCUUUAACAACUGGUAUUCAGUCACUGCACAUUUAAAAAGACUUGGUGCUUAUUUCAAAAUUAAGAAAAUAGACUCUUAUCUGCUGUAGUACUUAAAUAUUUCAACCAAUUACAAACUGGUCCUUCAGACUGUUGCAACAGCUGGAACUUUAUAGUGCAACAAGUGGUUAUUGGAGAAGUGAGUCUCAAAGAAAUAAAGAUGAGUAAGAGCAAAGAUGAUGCUCCUCACGAAUUAGAGAGCCAGUUUAUCUUACGUCUGCCUCCGGAAUAUGCUUCUACUGUGAGGCGGGCAGUACAGUCUGGUCAUGUCAACCUGAAGGACAGACUGACAAUAGAGUUACACCCGGAUGGGCGUCAUGGAAUUGUCAGAGUGGACCGGGUUCCACUGGCCUCAAAAUUGGUAGAUCUACCAUGUGUUAUUGAAAGUUUGAAAACUAUUGAUAAAAAAACUUUUUACAAGACAGCAGAUAUCUGUCAGAUGCUUGUAUCCACAGUUGAUGGUGACCUCUAUCCUCCAGUCGAGGAACCAGUUGCUGCUACUGCUGCUGCUGCAGCUACUGCUGCUGAUCCCAAAGCAAGCAAAAAAAAGGAUAAGGACAAAGAGAAAAAGUUUAUAUGGAACCAUGGAAUCACUCUGCCUCUAAAAAAUGUCAGAAAGAGAAGGUUCCGGAAGACAGCAAAGAAGAAGUAUAUUGAAUCUCCAGAUGUGGAAAAAGAAGUGAAGCGUUUGCUGAGUACAGAUGCUGAAGCUGUUAGUACUCGUUGGGAAAUAAUUGCUGAAGAUGAAACAAAAGAAACAGAAAAUCAAGGCCUUGAUAUCUCUUCUCCAGGAAUGUCAGGCCACAGGCAGGGCCAUGACUCAUUAGAACAUGAUGAGCUUCGGGAGAUAUUCAAUGACCUCAGCAGCAGCAGUGAAGAUGAAGAUGAGACACAGCAUCAAGAUGAGGAAGAUAUCAACAUCAUCGACACAGAGGAAGAUCUGGAAAGACAGCUACAGGACAAGCUAAAUACAUCAGAUGAACAGCACCAAGAAAAUGAAGGAACCAGUCAGCUAGUUAUGGGAAUUCAGAAACAGAUUGAUAACAUGAAAGGAAAGCUCCAAGAGACCCAGGACAGGGCAAAACGACAGGAAGAUCUCAUCAUGAAAGUGGAAAACCUGGCUCUCAAGAACAGAUUUCAGGCUGUGCUAGAUGAACUCAAACAAAAGGAAGACCGAGAAAAGGAGCAGCUCAGCUCUUUGCAAGAAGAGCUAGAAUCACUCCUAGAGAAAGAGAGGGGAAGGGAAGGAGAAAGAAACAUGGAUCUAUCGUUGCAGGCACCUGGCCCACAACCCAGAUCCAGAAGAAAUGGCCCAGAAGUCUCUGAGAGACUUUUUAGAAGUUUUUAUAUUGUUUCAGUCUUGGAACUGUCGUCUAAGCCUGGGACCUGCCAUGAGCUCCACCAUCCACAGUAUUCUCAGCUCCCUUCUAGUGCCAGCACUUAAACACUGGAUCCUCAUCAAUGGACUAGCAUCUUCUUGCCAGUCACCCUCUUCAAGGUUGGUAGUGGUCAUCAGCACUGAUGCUCUGUUCAUUGCAUGAAGCUUAAUGGCUUUUUCAAAACCAUAUCAGAACAUUUGGUAUUAGUGGCUUUAGUCUGCACCUUGAGAUGGAAAAUUUCACGGGUGGGUAAGUAGCUUUGUAGAAAAUUGACCCCUCUAAACAAUCUUGCAUAUUCUGUGAGUGAAAAAAAUGUCCCCAAAAGAUAUUUGUUUCUCCAGGUAAGUGUCUAUACAGUGAGUAUUUCUACUCCAACCCAAAGGAGUUUCACUGGGCCCUCCUCAGCAACCUGGACUCUCAGCAGACAUUAACUAGCGCAUCUUUCCACAUACCUUGCUCACUGAUUUAUAUACAAAUAGCUCUCUGUGCAUUCAGAGGAAAGGCUCCUUUCUGCCUUUGGAGAAUUGGAGAAAUGGCAGAUGGGCUCUUUUCUAGCCAGUGCUCAGGUUCCUGAUCUUGGUUCUUAGAAAUACUGUCCCUAAAAAGCCUUCCUCAUCUUCUCAGCACUAAAUAUAGGAAUCUCCUCAGGCUCAUGUGCCCACAAAGUCCACACAGCAAGAUGAGUCUUCUGUUCCAAGUCUGGAGACUGCCAUGGUACCAAUUCUGUCUUUGUAAUGAAGUACAAGAUUUUAGCAUACACUGGCUUUUAUUUUUCUACUUUUUGCUUCUGCUUUUAUGUUUGCUUCUCCACUUUGCUUUGCUGUCUGGGAUAAAUCUUAAAAAGUCUCUGUCUCUCACACACACACACACACCCACACACACAGAUCUACUCUCUUAGUAACUUUCAAAUAUACAAUACAGUACUGUUCCUCAGGACUUACCUUUUCCACUUUUUUAUGGUAUCUAUUGAUAGUCAAAGUCUUUGAUUUUAAUACAGUCAAAUUUAUUCUUUAUUAAUCCUUUAUUCUAUGGUCAAUGUCUUCUUAGAGAAAUAAUUUCUACACCCAAGGCCUAAACUUUGUUUACCUAUAUUUCCUACUAAGAGUUUUAAAGGCUUUUUUUUUUUACAUUUAAGUCUUAGAUCAACUUGGAGCUGAUUUUAACAUUAAGAUCUAAUUUAAUCUUUUUGUGUAUGAUUAACUAUUUUUAAUUGAACAUUUCAUCUUUCCUCCAUAUGAUGGUGAAGUAGGGCCUUUGGGAGGUAACUAGGUCUGGAGCACUUUGCAGGGGUAGAGCUUCAUGUUGAAGUUGGUGCCUUUAUAAGAAGAGGACAAAACACCAGAGCUGCUUCCCUCAGCCUUGCCAGGAUACAGAGAGAAGCCUGCAGUCUGCAAGCCAGGAAAAAGGCCCUCGUCAAGAACCGGAUCUGUUGGCACCUUGAUCCUGGAAGUGCUGAGCCAACCAGCCAAUUCAUUUGUCACUGUUCAUCUAUCUACAGGGUCCGGCAGAAGUAACACCUGCUUGAGUGUGGUUGGUAGAGUAACAGUAUGGUUAUAAUAAUUUGUAAUUUUAAUUUGAACAUUUUACCUAAAAUAUCAUAUGAUGUGCUUGAGUGUGAUAUUGUUAUAUUACAGUAUUACAUGCUUAUGAUUUUAUAAUAAAAAGGGGCGUUAUUUGUGCUGGACCCUGUAUAUAUAUUCAUAGCUCAGACCACUUCUCUUCCCAUUAAAAGGGAUGGCAAGUGUAGUGCUUACAGUUGUACUUAUUUGAAAGGGUGGUCUUUUAAGGCCACUCUUGAGUAGGCCUAUAAUUCAGCAGUUAAACAUUGUUGGCUUGAACCAGCCAUCUGUGAACUUGGGCCAAGAUCUUUUCUCCUCUGCAACUGGUCUAGAGAAUCUUUCUGUGAAACUGUAGGUGUGAAUUAGGACUUUGGUGCAAUAGAAGUAGGUGCAAUGAGAAUCAGGAUUACCUGUUCAUGAAACUCCUGAACCUUCUUGGAGCCAAUUCUGAAUUUACUAUUUCUAUUAUGUAAGGUUUUCUCUUGUACCAAUGAUGACGGCAUAGUCAUUUGGU